rnacentral:tRNA from 1 species
UACAGAGUCCAAGAAUGGUUACUCUGUCCGCUUUGUAAGCGGAGGAUUCUGGGUUCGAUUCCCAUCUGCUGCAA